AGGGCAAAAGAAAUAGCUCUACUUCGAGCUUCAAUGACCGCGUUCACCUUCUAGAAUAUUUUAUAAAUUUGUUUUUCUGAUUGAAAAUGUAGCUAAAAUUGUUAUUUCAAGUGGGCAGUACUAAGACCGCUUCAUCUGGAUGGUCAGAUUUUCGCUACGGAAAUGUGAUUGGAAAACGUUAAUAACGGAUAAAUUUUUAUAGAAAAGUCUCUAGUAAAUAAUCGAUCCCCGAAUUUGAAUACUUCAAGUAUUGUAUAAUUUUUACUCAACAAACGAAAGGUAUGAUGAUAGUCGUAAAACAAAUAAGUGAGAACUGAAAGAAGUGCAAGUAAAAAAAACAGUUGAAACAAAAUCGAGACAAUAAAAAGCUUCAAUUUCAACCCUUUACCUAUACACUUGCUAAUGCCGCGUCCCGACGAGCGCAACAAAGCAGUGACGCGAACGCGGCUGCAAAGUGCUUGCAGCGGCUGUUCUUUCGAUCGUGGUCUCCACUGAAAGCCCACGCGUUUCCAAUCUGCAUGUUUUCAGUACACGCAAAGUCGAGCCUUCAGACUGGAUCUUCUGGAUCUUCGAUGUUUUCGUCGUAUGAUCAGCACCAAAACAAGUGCAAGCCGCCGAUUUUCCUUCUUCAUUACAAAUUGUCCGAGAUAGAAACUUAAUAUUCGCGAACAGCAGCGUUCAAAAAUAUGUUUUACAACAGAAACAUAAAGCGACAUCCUCGUUACUUAAUUAGAUUCGUUAGAAACAAAGUUUGCGUUCUGUAGGUUAUAUAUCUCUGGUAAUUUUUCGCAAAUAUUUCCACAAAAAAAAACAGAAAUCAAAGCCAUUACUUAAUGUCGCAAGAUGGGGAAAUAUUAUAUCUCCACAUGGACUACAACUACUAGAAAAAGUCCUAAGGAAACUUGGCAAAUGGAAAAUUGCACUUUUACUGUUGUUUACUAUUCUUAUUGUUUAUAGAUAUAGAGAAAACUUUGAAUCCUCUUUAACUAACUAAUAAUUAAGUCAAAUUGAAACCUUUGCCUAAUGGCGCACUAUCCGCUGAGUGACGACUACUUUUGCUUUAAUCAUGCAGUUAACCGUUUUAACUCACUUUCAUAUAAUAAUAUAAAUAUAAUAAUAAAAACGUUGUAUGUGUAAUGUUUUGGACAAACAUUGGUAAGAAUUUGAGGGAUUCUUGAAUAAAUCGCAAGUUCGUCAGGGAAUUGCGACUGAACGGCAUGAGAUUUUUGUACUUUCAAUGUUCUCAAUCAACAGAUUUGUCCACCAAGUAAAAGCUCAGCCAGCGUUUCUAAUUUCAUUCAAUUUUCAACAAGAAAAACGCUUGGUUGCUCCAGAAAUUCUCCACAAUUUUUGUUCAAAGGCUGAACAUCGUUUUUUUCAUUGUAUGAAAGUGAGAGAUGAAUAUUUUAAACAAUUAUUAAUUCAUUAAAUGUUUUACUCUAAAUUAGUUAAUUUAAAUUAAUCAAUUGACUCAAUGAUUAAUACGAAAUUGUCUUUUACGGCAAAAGAUAACUUAAAGAUUGAUCUCAACACGCAAAUCUGAAUAUUUUUGAAAGUAAAAAAAGGGACAAGUGGAACUGAAUGCUUUCAGAAGAUUGUGAUUUGCUCUUGGGAUUUGUGAUGCAAUCUGCGUAUUGUACUAAUAUCAGUAGUAUCAUAAUAUUUCACCCUGUCCUUCUAGGAAAAAGUGUAUGAAUGUAUUAAAUAAAUAAAUAUUAAAGUGUG